GACGUAGGGCGCGAGCGUUGUCCGGAUUUAUUGGGCGUAAAGAGCUCGUAGGCGGUUUGUCGCGUCGUCUGUGAAAACCCACGGCUCAACUGUGGGCUUGCAGUCGAUACGGGCAGGCUAGAGUUCGGUAGGGGAGACUGGAAUUCCUGGUGUAGCGGUGAAAUGCGCAGAUAUCAGGAGGAACACCGGUGGCGAAGGCGGGUCUCUGGGCCGAUACUGACGCUGAGGCGCGAAGGCGUGGGGAGCGAACGGG
rnacentral:rRNA from 1 species